GCCCGGGGUUGCCGCGUCUCUCGCUCGCCGCCCGCCUCGGGCCCUCCUCCUCUGGGACUCCGCGCUCCCGGGAUCCCCUCCCGCUCUUUUCCUCCCCGAGUCCCGCCGCCCGCCUCGCCAACCUCCGCCUUUACCUGCUGCGGGAGCGGGGCGUCGAAGCCCCCGGGCCGUGUCGUCGAGUAAGCGCCGCGGGUCCGCAACCCUUUCCCGCCGCCGCCAGCCACUACGCUCUCCGGCGCGGCGCGGCGCGGCGCGGGGCUGGCGAGCAGCUGUGUCCGCGGGGCGGGGGUGGGGGAGACGCAGCGAGCGUGCGGAGCGAGGACACACUGCCGCUCUCCGUCCGACCGGGGAAGAGCAGCCGCGCAGGAGCCCGCCGCGAGAGGGCGGGUGGGCGGCCGCGUGGGGAGGGGUCUCGCGGCCGCCGCAAUGGCUGCCACGUAGCCAGGUGGAUCUCCGCCCCCGCCCCGGGGCCGCGACCUCUGCUGCUCCGCACACCCCCCACCCACCCANNNNNNNNNNNNNNNNNNNNNNNNNNNGGCUCUCCAGGAUGCGUCGGCCCGCGCCCGCCACGGCGCCGGCCCGGAGACCCGAGCCCACCGGUGCUGGCGCCUCGCUGGCUCCGUUACGAGAAGUGAGUCCCGGGCCUGGCGGGAGGCGCAGCCCGGGACCCGCGGGGCCCCCCGAGGCUCUCCCGGAAGCUUGCGGCCCGCCGCUGUCCCCCGAGGGCUCCGGGGAAAGGCAGGCGCUGGGACCCCCCCUACUGCUGCCCGUGUAAGCGCCCCGGUGAGCCGCGGCCGGGUCUAACCCUCACCUCUCUCCCGAGCCCGAAAAGCAAAACAAGGUCGUUCUGGCCCUGGGCAGCGAGGGAGGAACUAGGAGCUGGGGCGGGCGGGACUGCAGCUGCGAGGUCGGCGGGGCGAGGCGAUGGGCCCCGCGCUGUCCCCCACGGGGGCCCGCUCACUCGGGGCGGACGGGCGGCGGCGCCCCGCGGGAACAAAGGGCCCCGCGGCCCCAGCAACCGGGACGGAGGCUGCCGGGAUCCAGCCCGCGCCGCCAACGUGCGGUCGGAACCCGCUGGCCUGAGCCCAAAAGAGCUGCGGCCUUUGCCAGUGUGGAGCUGGAGUUUUCAGGUGCCAAGAAAAAGCAACAGUGUUCCCUUUCCCUGUUAACGAUCCUGGAUGAUUAGCCCGUCCCCUAAGCCCGCUCCAUGUUUUUCCUUGUUGGACUCUGACUUCCUUGCUUAAUUUGUUCUGUCCUGACAUGAAACGAUCAGAGUACAAAAGUGUGUGUCUCUCUCUAGCCUUCUGAUUAAUGAUGCUACUGGUCGUUUCGGAGUUUUUAGUUUUGUUCUUUUUGUUUUUGUGUCUGUUUUCUCCUGGACUUUCCUCUCUCUUUGCAAUUACUUUGUAUUUUUCACUGNNNNNNNNGUAGUAAAAUAACCUCUUGAUAUUCAUCCACAUCAGAGAGACAGAUUAUCUGUCAAUUGUUAUGGCAAUUAUUUAAACUGAAUGUAGAUUUGGAAAGAAUACAAGUGAAAAAAAUCCCUUUAGAUCUGGCUUGAACAUUCUCACACUCAAUGAGCAAAUGGUCUAGUGGGGUUUUUUCUAGAAACUGGUGUAUUUAAGCAAAGAAACUAGUGUACUUAAGCAAAUAAAUGUUCUAAUGAAAUCUCCCACACAGAAAAGAAUAUGAAUGGAUGUGUUUUUUAUUUUCUUUGUCUUUUUAGAGAUCUCUUGAGUUUCAGUGUUUAAAAAUAUAUACUAUACAAACAUCUUUAUUAAGGCUUAUUCUAAAUAUGGUAAACAAAAGAAAUUUAAUAGUCUACAAUCCCGAGCAUAAGUAGCUACUGCUGAGAACCUAACAUUAAUCUGUUUCUAAGCAGCUAUUAGGAGCCUAAUAACUGUAAUAUAUGCCACUUUUGAAAUGAAAGAAACUUAGUAAUUAUAGACUUCAAACAAACCUAGCAAAUUUAUAUUAAUUUUGUUCAUCUGAAAUAUGUUCAACGUGAUAAUAAAAACUUGUAUUU
ensembl:processed_transcript N4bp2os NEDD4 binding protein 2, opposite strand